UGGGAGGGCCAUAGCGGCCCGGGAACCACCCGUACCCAUCUCGAACACGGAAGUUAAGCCGGGCCGCGUCCCGAGUGGUACUGCCCCGCGAAGGGGUGGGAAGCUCGGGAUGCCCUCCCGC
rfam:Nanoarchaeum equitans Kin4-M, complete genome.